AAUUAGCAUUGAUACAAUACUAUUAACUAAUCUACAGAUCUUAUUUGAAUUUUGCCAGUUUUCCCACUAAUGCCCUUUUUCUGAUUCAGGAUCCAAUCCAGGAUUUCACAUUGCAUUUAUUUGUCAUGUCUCCUUAGACUUUUCUGAUCUGAGACAGUUCCUCAGUCUUUUUUCCCCCUUUCAUGAUCUUGACACAUUUCAAGGGUCCCAGUGAGUUAUUUUGCAGAAUGUCCCCCAGUUUGGAUUUGUCCAAUGUUUUCUCAUUCUAGAUUGAGGUUAUGCAUUUUUGGCAAGAAUACCACAGAAGUAAAUAAUUUGGAGUGGGGAAGACAUUUCUUUCUUUCUUUCUUUCUUUUUUUUUUGAGGAAGAUUAGCCCUGAGCUAACGACUGCCAAUUCUCCUCUUUUUUGCUGAGGAAGACUGGCCCUGAGCUAACAUCUGUGCCCAUCUUCCUCUACUUUAUAUGUGGGACGCCUACCACAGCAUGGUGUGCCAAGCGGUGCCAUGUCCACACCUGGGAUCCGAACCAGCAAACCCUGGGCCGCAGAGAAGCGGAACGUGUACACUUAACUGCUGCUCCACCAGGCCGGCCCCUGGGAAGACAUUUCUAAGUAUGAGAACAAAACACAGAAGUCAUAAAAGAAAAGACACAUUUAAAUAUAUAUAUUAAAAAUGUUAAGAGUACAUAUGCAUGGUAAAAAUCAUAAGCAAACGUUAAAAGAUAGAUGACAAUCUCCGGAAAAUGUUUAUAGUUCCUAUGGCAGAGAAAGGGCUAAUUUUGAUACAUAAAAAUCUACAAAUCUAUAAGAAAAAUACCAACAACACAAUAACAAAUGUACAAAAAAUUUAUACAGACAUUUCACGGAAUAGGAAAUAUUAAGAACUCUCAAGUAUCUGAAAAGAUGCCUAACCUCAUUCACCAUAAGAGAAAUGCAGUCCAUGUUUAACUUAUAUUUGUAAUGACCAAAAAGUGUCCCAGAGAGUUGGAGAGGGUUUGGCUUUAAGUAAACAAGCCUUACUUGUUUGUUGGUGGGAAUAAAAAUUGGUAACAUUCACAGAGAGCAAUUUGGCAAUAUCCAUCAAAAUCAAUAAAAACCACAAACACCCAUAUCCUUUGACCUCAAAUUUUCACUUCUGGGAAUUAGCCCUACAUGUCUGCACAUAGGUGAAAAGGGAACGUGUAGAUUAUUCUUUGCAGCUUUGCUUGUGUUGGCAAAAGAUUGGAAACAACCUACAUGUCAAGAGGGGAUUGGUUAAAUUAUACUGCAGAGGGGCCGGCCCUGUGGCUGAGUGGGUUAAGUUCGUGUACUCUGCUUCAGCGGCCCAGGAUUUCACCAGUUCAGAUCCUGGGCAUGGGCCUAGCACCGUUCAUCGGGCCACGCUGAGGUGGCAUCUCACAUGCCACAACUAGAAGGACCCACAACUGAAAAUAUACAACUAUGUACCAGGGGGCUUUGGGGAGAAGAAGGAAGAAUAAAAUCUUAAACAAAAUUAAAAAACAAAUUAUGUUACAGAGUAAUACUAUUCAGCCAGGAAAAAAGUAAAUUUUUUUUCUUUUUUCAAGGUAUGUACUUCUUCUUUUUUGGUAAGGAAGAUUGGCCCAGAGCUAACAUCUGUUGCCAAUUUUCCUCCUUUUUUUUUCUGUUUUUUUUUUUUCCCCAAAGCCCCAGUACGUAGUUGUAUAUCCUAGUUGUAAGUCCUUCUAGCUCUUCUAUGUGGGAUGCUGCCACAGCAUGGCUUGAUGAGUGGUGUGUAGGUCUGUGCCCAGAAUCUGAAUCAGUGAACCACAGGCUGCCAAAGCAGAGAGUGUGAACUUAACCACUACGCCACUGGGCUGGCCCCCAAAAGUAAAUUUUCUACACUGUUACGGAACAAUCUCCAAGAUACAAGGGACAAAAGCAAGGCGCAGCACAGUUCAUAUAGUUCACUUCUAUUUGUGUAAAAAAGUGGAAAGUUAGGUGCACAGAACAUCUCUGGAAAGAGGCACAGGGAACUGGGAGGUCUGGUUGUUGAGGGGCAGAAGCUGGGUGGCUGGGAGACAGGGUGAGAGAGAGACUUUCUCCAUAUGCCCUUUUGAACUUUCGAAACUUUGAACUCCAUACAUUAAAAAAAAAAUACAAGACUAUAACAUUUUAAAAGAAUGUGCGCCUGCAGCUGCUCAUGUUCCCGUCUGGAAAUAAAGCUAAAUCAGAGGCCAGCAGAGCUAGAAACAGAGAAGAUCCCUGAUGACAUCAUGUGAGCACCUGCAUCCGGCUGGUUUGUUGUGUUCCAGCUCUGUGAGGCCUCCGAUUCUCCUUUUUGGUUUAAAUGCGUUUGAGCUGUGUUGGCAAGUUCUCAAUCAUGACGUCCAUCAAAGAUCACGAUGCGGUUUUUUUCCCCAGCUUUAGUGAGGAUUAAUUGACAAACGCGCUGUGUUUUAAUGACCUCUUUGCUUGUGUAUUAUUGCAGCUCCUGGUGCCAGCACAGUGCCUGGCAUUGUAGAAUGAAAGAGGCCUCAUUUACCAAGUGAUGAAAAUGAGGCCCAAGGAGCAAGCCAUUCGCUUCAGGACAUCCUGCAGGUGAACUUGGAUGCCCUCCCACAUCCUUUCAAUGAGCCUUGGGAGUGGGGCCCAGAGACUUGGCUGCCAACCCCCCAAGCAGGUAAAUGUAGAAGCCACGAUCUCAGUUAUGUAAACACGCUACUUUGUCUUUAGUUAACUUACCUCUGUUUGGGUCUCCAUUUUACUUGCUUGCAGAAAACAUUCAUUUCCAG
ensembl:lncRNA